rnacentral:rRNA from 1 species
CAGUCGCCGCGGUAAUACGGAGGGAGCUAGCGUUGUUCGGAAUUACUGGGCGUAAAGCGCGCGUAGGCGGUUACUCAAGUCAGAGGUGAAAGCCCGGGGCUCAACCCCGGAACUGCCUUUGAAACUAGGUGACUAGAGUCUUGGAGAGGUCAGUGGAAUUCCGAGUGUAGAGGUGAAAUUCGUAGAUAUUCGCAGGAACACCAGUGGCGAAGGCGGCUAACUGGUCCAUAACUGACGCUGAGGUGCGAAAGCGUGGGGAGCAAACAGGAUUAGAUACCCGAGUAGUCCCUGUCUCUUAUAC